ACUCAAAGGAAUUGACGGGGGCUCACACAAGCGGUGGAGCAUGUUGCUUAAUUCGAUGCAACGCGUAGAACCUUACCUGGGCUUGACAUGGUCGGAUUAACUCCUGGAAACAGGAGCCACACCCGCAAGGGUGGAACGAUCACAGGUGCUGCAUGGCUGUCGUCAGCUCGUGCUGUGAAGUGUCGGGUUAAGUCCCUUAACGAGCGCAACCCCUGUCGUUAGUUGCCUGCCGCAAGGCGGUACUCUAGCGAGACUGCCGGUGUCAAACCGGAGGAAGGUGGGGAUGACGUCAAGUCCUCAUGGCCCUUACGUCCAGGGCUGCAAACGUGCUACAAUGGUGCGCACAAAGCGAUGCAAGAGCGCAAGCUGGAGCAAAUCGCAAAAAACGUACCCCAGUUCGGAUUGCAGGCUGCAACUCGCCUGCAUGAAGUCGGAAUCGCUAGUAAUCGGGGAUCAGCUACGCCCCGGUGAAUACGUUCCUGAGCCUUGUACACACCGCCCGU
rnacentral:rRNA from 1 species